rnacentral:rRNA from 1 species
CCUACGGGAGGCAGCAGUGAGGAAUAUUGGUCAAUGGGCGCGAGCCUGAACCAGCCAAGUAGCGUGAAGGAUGACUGCCCUACGGGUUGUAAACUUCUUUUAUAAAGGAAUAAAGUGAGGCACGUGUGCCUUUUUGUAUGUACUUUAUGAAUAAGGAUCGGCUAACUCCGUGCCAGCAGCCGCGGGAAUACGGAGGAUCCGAGCGUUAUCCGGAUUUAUUGGGUGGAAAGGGAGCGUAGAUGGGUUGGUAAGUCAGUUGUGAAAGUUUGCGGCUCAACCGUAAAAUUGCAAUUGAUACUGGCAGCCUUGAGUACAGUUGAGGUAGGCGGAAUUCGUGGUGUAGCGGUGAAAUGCUUAGAUAUCACGAAGAACACCGAUGGCGAAGGCAGCUUACUAAACUGCCACUGACAUUGAUGCUCGAAAGUGUGGGGAUCAAACAGGAUUAGAUACCCUUGUAGUC